rnacentral:rRNA from 1 species
AACGUAGGAGACAAACGUUAUCCGGAGUUACUGGGCGUAAAGAGCGUGUAGGCGGCUAGGUUGGUGGGUUGUGAAAACUGGAGGCUCAACCUUCAGACGUCGACCCAAACCCCCUGGCUAGAGUCCGGAAGAGGAGAGUGGAAUUCCUGGUGUAGCGGUGAAAUGCGCAGAUAUCAGGAAGAACACCCGUGGCGAAGGCGGCUCUCUGGGACGGUACUGACGCUGAGACGCGAAAGCGUGGGGAGCGAACAGG